rnacentral:rRNA from 1 species
CCUACGGGAGGCAGCAGUGGGGAAUAUUGCGCAAUGGGCGAAAGCCUGACGCCGCGACGCCGCGUGAGGGAUGAAGGUCUUCGGAUCGUAAACCUCUGUCAGCAGGGAAGAACGGUCACUGUGCUAAUCAGCAGUGAAUUGACGGUACCUGCAAAGGAAGCACCGGCUAACUCCGUGCCAGCAGCCGCGGUAAUACGGUGGGUGCGAGAGUUAAUCGGAAUUACUGGGCGUAAAGCGCUCGUAGGCGGUAUGUCAAGUCAAGGGUGAAAUCCCCGCGCUCAACGUGGGAACUGCCUUUGAAACUGGCGAACUUGAGUGUGUGAGAGGAUAGUGGAAUUCCAGGUGUAGGAGUGAAAUCCGUAGAUAUCUGGAGGAACAUCAGUGGCGAAGGCGACUAUCUGGCACAUAACUGACGCUGAGGAGCGAAAGCGUGGGUAGCGAACAGGAUUAGAUACCCGUGUAGUC